CUUAUUUGUUGUCAAAAUUGGUUGAGAUCUUCUCCCAAUUUUCAGUAUGUUGAGUCACUCUUGCCUGAUAUUGAAGAUGAAGAAAGCUACAAGCUUGAGUCGGAAAUUUUGUCUAAUUCCCUCACAUUUGACGCGAAUUAAGGCUUAAUGGAUGAACUUUGCAGGGUAAUGUUUUGUUUAAAGUAUUUGGAAGCAAAUUUAAGGAAUUGAAGAUGAUCUAUGUUUGAGGUGGCUCAAGGAAAUUAUUGUGUAACCGUGUUGAUGUUUAUCCAUAUUGAUCACUAUCUUUAUGUUUUCUCACUUUUAUAUUUGUGUAAUGGUGUUGCCCAUGACUUAUUUUCCUUUUGCUAAGUGACUUUAAUUAGUUAAUACUUUGUUUAUUAUUCAUUAA